rfam:Daucus carota subsp. sativus cultivar DH1 chromosome 8, whole genome shotgun sequence.
AUACUUACCUGGAUGGGGUCAAUGGGUGAUCAUUGAGGCCCAUGGCCUAGGGAAGCAACUUCCAUUGCACUUUGGAAGUUCCUAAGGUCUACCCAAGUGGUGGACCUACAUCAUAAUUUGUGUUAGGGGGGGCUUGCGUCCGCGCAGCCCCCGC